GACGAACGCUGGCGGCGUGCUUAACACAUGCCAGUCGAACGGAAAGGCCUCUUUCGGGGGGUACUCGAGUGGCGAACGGGUGAGUAACACGUGAGUAACCUGCCCUUUACUUUUGGAUAACUUCAGGAAACUGGGGCUAAUACCGGAUAGGAGCUCCUGCGGCAUGGUGGGGGGGGGGAAGUUUCGGGGGUUGGGGGUGGACUCGCGGCUUAUCAGCUUGUUGGUGGGGUGGUGGCUUACCAAGGCUUUGACGGGUAGCCGGCCUGAGAGGGUGACCGGCCCAAGUGGGACUGAGAUACGGGCCAGACUCCUACGGGAGGCAGGCGUGGGGAAUAAUGCACCAUGGGUGGGAGCCCGAUGCAGCCACGCCGUGGGCGGGAAGACGGGCUUCGGGUUGUAAACCGCCUUCGCUCAUGACGGAGCUUUGUGUGACGGUAGUGGGUAAAGAAGCACCGGCUAACUACGUG
rnacentral:rRNA from 1 species